AUAAAUAAUUCCAUUAGGUUAGGUAUAUAGAAGGUACCGCAAGUGCCUGUGCCUCAUCCACAUUGCUUUCUUCUGUUUUAAUACCGGAAGAAUUUAGAAUAUCUUCACCACAAGAACGGGAAACAAAUAAAAUUGCGGCGGCAAAAGUGAGUCAAAGUGACCCGAAGCAAAACAGCAAACGACGUUCAAAGGAAACCCGACCAAUGCCAUUAUAGUUCCAAUCAGCCCCCUGUCACUUGAAUGAGAGUUACACUCACAAGUUUAAAAAUUUUCAAACUAUAAAUUUUAUAAUUUUAUUGUGACUGAAUGUAAAGUUAUUAUUUGUGUUAUCUAUAAUUUGAAUGAAUAAAUUAAAUAAUUAUUUUUUUCUUA